rnacentral:pre_miRNA from 1 species
AAUAAAAGUUCACAGUUCAUCUUUUUCCAAAGGGUAUGGAAAAAGAUGAACUGUGAACUUUCAUU